rnacentral:rRNA from 1 species
AUUGAACGCUGGCGGCAGGCCUAACACAUGCAAGUCGAACGAGUGGCGGACGGGUGAGUAAUGUCUGGGAAACUGCCCGUUGGAGGGGGAUAACUCCUGGAAACGGUAGCUAAUACCGCAUACCCUCGGAUGUGCCCACAUGGGGUUAGCUCGUAGGUGGGGUAACGGCUCACCUCGGCGACGAUCCCUAGCUGGUCUGAGAGGAUGACCAGCCACACUGGAACUGAGACACGGUCCAGACUCCUACGGGAGGCAGCAGUGGGGAAUAUUGCACAAUGGGCGCAAGCCUGAUGCAGCCAUGCCGCGUGUAUGAAGAAGGCCUUCGGGUUGUAAAGUACUUUCAGCGGGGAGGCGUUACCCGCAGAAGAAGCACCGGCUAACUCCGUGCCAGCAGCCGCGGUAAUAC